CACUCACAGACACACACUGUCACUCACAGACACACACUUUCACUCACAGACACACACACACUGUCACUCACAGACACACACACUGUCACUCACAGACACACACACACAGUCACUCACAGACACACACACUGUCACUCACAGACACACACACACAGUCACUCACAGACACACACACUGUCACUCACAGACACACACACACAGUCACUCACAGACACACA